UUCCCCUUCUUCGGCUAGGCAGAUAUGGGUGUGCAUGGGUAGGGGAGAUUGUCUCAAUAUGUUAAACCAAUGAUGUGUUUUGCAUACAAAUAGAAACUAGUACAAGAGCAUUUCAUUAAGGAAAGUAUCGCUGUUUCUGCAUGACCUAGGGAAAAUUAAUAUUCUAAAUACAAAAUCAUGUGACUUGGGGUUUUGCCUCUUUCCAGCAAUCAAAGCCGUGAAAAGCUGUCUGGAAUAAAGCUUAGGUUUCUUCUUCAUUCCUAUGAGCCAUAUUAUUUCCUUGUUGAAGAAAAGAUACAAUGGAAAAAAUAGUGUGUGCAGUUUUUAGGCAGCUUUAUAUUCUGGAUGUUAUAUUCAUUCAACAGAUAUUUAUUAAACCCUUGAGAUGUGUCAGACACUGUGGUAGGUACAGGAGUGAACAAGAGACAUGGUUCCUGCCCCCAGACAGCUUAUAUUUUUAUGGGGGGAAACAGAUACCAAACAAAUGAUUAUGUCAAUGAAUAUGUAAUUUCAAUUGUGAUAAGGGUUGGGAAGGAAAAGCUCAAGAAAUUGAGACAGUAUAUUGCAUUAGGAUUCAUUCACUCAUUCAGAUGACUUUUCAUUUUCUUGCUUUAUUCAAAGACAAGGAAGGCACCACUGCAGCCUGGUGAGGGAGGCUUGCCCUUGCAGACUGUCUCCUGGGGGCCCCUGAGACACUGGGUAGCAGUUCACCCAAAGGAGUAGGCAGGACGUGGUGCUGAGAGGAGGAGCUGCCAUGUUAUCUGAGAGCUGAAAAGUUUUCCGGGCACAAGACCACAUGGGCAAAGGCAAGGGGAAGGGCAGGGCAUGCUUUCAGAGGAGAGUGAAUAGUUCUAGGAAACCAGGGGAGGAGACCUGCAAGGUUUGGAAGUAAGCCUGGAAAAUCAGGCUGAAGGCAAGUGGUGAAGAACGUUGUGUGCUUUGCUGACGCAUUCAGACUUCAUUCUGAGAGCUGCGGGGGCCUGUAGGAAUUUAAAGAGGGAGGUCAUAGUGGACAUAUUCAGUUACCGAUAGAGCAUCCAUCUGUCCAUUUCCCCUUCCUGAGAGUAGUUCCACUUAUUUUCAGAGCCAUUGAACAAGAUGCCUUUUCUUCUUAUGAAAGCCAAGGGGUACAGAUGUGGAGCCCAGAUUGCUAUAGCCAGCAUGCUGUCUGGUUGCCGACCUCAAGCUGAAGCUCUCACCCCCAGUAAAGUACAGUCUGCAUGGUUUUGUAUGCCCCUUACUCACAUGUGAUCCUAGGUAGGAUACACAGUGGAGAUUAAUCAUUGUAAGUACCUCACAGGAGGUUUGGCAGGGUGCGUGGCUCAUAGUAAGUGCAUAAUAAAUGUUAAUUAUUUUUAUUCAUUUAUUAAAUACUUACUGAGAGUCUGCUAUGUCCAGGCACCAUGCUAAGUACUAAGGAUAGACAGUAAGCAAGAAAGACA
rnacentral:lncRNA from 10 species